rnacentral:rRNA from 1 species
CCUACGGGAGGCAGCAGUGGGGAAUAUUGCACAAUGGGGGAAACCCUGAUGCAGCGACGCCGCGUGAGUGAAGAAGUAUUUCGGUACGUAAAGCUCUAUUAGUAGGGAAGCAAAUGACGGUACCUGUCUACGAAGCCCCGGCUAACUACGUGCCAGCAGCCGCGGUCAUACGUAGGGGGCAAGCGUUAUCCGGAUUUACUGGGUGUAAAGGGAGCGUAGUCGGCGAUGCAAGUCUGAAGUGAAAGGCGGGGGCCCAACCCCCGGACUGCUUUGGAAACUGUAUGGCUGGAGUGCAGGAGAGGUAAGUGGAAUUCCUGGUGUAGCGGUGAAAUGCGUAGAUAUUAGGAAGAACACCGGUGGCGAAGGCAGCUUACUGGACUGUAACUGACGUUGAGGCUCGAAAGCGUGGGGAGCAAACAGGAUUAGAUACCCUUGUAGUC